ACAUACCUUGAGAGCCAGCAAGCCGAAGGUACAGGUUGCCACCAAGCAUACCGGCCUUCUCAGAGUCAACAAGCUCCCCUGUCCAGAUCAAGCAUCUUGACGGGCCACCGGUUGCGACGAUACUGCUCAGGUUGGUGUAAGCAUACGCGGUGCAGGAGCAGUCACGCUCACAAUCAGCGGUGCACUCCUCGAAGCUUCUGUUCCUCACAUACACAAACUUGUCAGGCACCUUCAUCUCCGGCAAAGUCAAGAAAUGGUCACCACGGCAUGUCAGGUUCUCCUUUCUCACGCAUCCUCUGGAGGGGAUAGCGCCGAAGCCAUCUGCCGGCUGGAACCCAUCCAGGCACCUGCAGAUCUUGUCGAACAUGUCGCAGUACCCGAACGGACCACAUGAACCGUAGCGGCGGCAGCCAGAAUCUGGGCGCUUGAACAGAGGCAUCCAUGACUGGCCGCUCCAGAUCCUCAGCAUCAAGUCGCCAUUGUAGUCCAGCUUCCAGUGCGACCUCCGGGCGGAGCUGUUGCCCGUGUUGUACGUCGAGUAGAUGGUCUCCCCGUCAUCGACAAUCUGGGACCACAUGAACCCGUUCUUGUCUGAGGCUUCCGCACCAUUCCACAGCCCGCUGCGCCAGUACUUGCUUCUCCCGCGCAAGGUGAGGACCUGGAGGCCCGUGCCGGGAUCACGACUGAGGAAGAACAUCCCGGUGGACGGGUCCUGAGGACCCUUCCAAGCGACGAGGCGCACUGCUGUGUGUACCUUGUAGUUGGCCCAUAACUUGAAGCUGGGGAGGAUGGUGUCGGUCGGGUGAUCAUAGCUCUGCCAUAUCUGUGUGAAAUUGCGCAAUUGGAGGACAAAGUUCCCCGCCUCGAGCAGCAGCGCCACGGCCCCGUCACCGCCGGUGGUGAUGUUGUUCGUCGUCCUCCAGAGGACACGGCCUUUGGAGUCUGACAAGACGAGAUCAGAGGUGUUUGUCAGAACCAACUUCCCCGACAAACCGCUGCCGAUCGGGUUGUCGCGGUUGGCCACCCACACAUAUGUCCUCUCCGGGAUGUCGUGGUACCAUAUGCCUAAGUAAGAGUUUGCGGCCCUAGAGUUCUCUGGGUCCGAGGAGAAGAAGCCAAGAGCGAAAAUGCCAUUGUUUGAGACGAGCUUGUCGCCCGGCAAGAGUGGCUUCGCCGGUGUUAGGCGGUCAUCGGAUUUGCAUAAACAAAUCAACAGUAGGAGGGUGAAAAUGACAGGAAGGGUCUUGCCCAUUGAGACUUCUUCCACAUAUAUGCUUGUGAAAGAGCAAAGUAACAAGCUCACAGCAGCAUGAGUUUUACAACCACUUUUGGCGCAGGUAAUUUCAGGCUCAAGGAUAGGAAACAGCUGCAGAAAUUAACCGUGGGGAAUUAAAGAUCAAGAAGUACCAUAUAAACCGAUCGAGGAACUGUGUUCUUGCGGCUCUCAACCAUGGGGUUGACCGGACACCAGAGUCCGUCAAAGUCGUCAUGGGCAGAAAUAUUUUGCCAUAGUUGACAAGUGUACACAGAAGACGAAAGGAACGGGUUACCGUCAGGUGGAGCCCUGGCAGGGCAGUCGCUCGCAGCGAGGCGGGGAAGAUGGCCGGGAUAGAGCGGCGGAGGCUAGAAGGGGAAGGGGGCAGAGCUCGGGAGGGAGAGUGACGAUGGGAGAGGAAGUAGAGAAGCAGAGGGUGAGCCGCAAAUAAUAGCAACAUGUGCCACGGAAGAAUUCACCCAGUAAUUUUAUCUUCCAAGAGGAGUUCACCCAGUGAUAUGAAUGCAUAUAGCAGUAGGAACAGUUUACAGACAGCUACCACCCCACCCUGACCCUGAUCAAUGCAUGCUCCAGAGCCUGCAUCUCGCCAGUGUACUACACGCUGCAAGGUCAUUUCUAGGGCUGCUGCUCGCCACUGCAGUGUCUUCAAUCAUUGAUCAAGUCUUACGUAGACCUACGAUAACAACACCUACGAUCACACUUCACAGAUUUGGCCCACAAUAUAUAGUCCGCCGACGGCCAUCUCUCAUUUGCCAGCUUUCACAGCCUUUUCCACACAAAAAAAUCUUCAAAUUCAUAUAAUCUCAUACAACAUAGAUCAAAAGACGUACUUUAUAAUUCAUAUAAAUCAUACUACCUCUGUUCCUAAAUAUAAGUCUUUUAAGAAGUUUCACUAGACGACUACAUACGGAUGUAUAUAGACAAAUUUUAGAGUGUAGAUCCAUCCAUUUUGUUUUGUAUGUAGUCCUCUAAUAAAAUCUUUAAAAGACUUAUAUUUAAAAACGGAGGGAGUAGCACAUAGUUCAUAUAGCAUACGGUAGUUCAUCAUCACACGUCAUCAGACUAUCAAAAUUAGGCAUGUUCUAUUAGUAAAAUAGGGUUAUAGAGCAAGUUCGUCCACGAAUGCCCUUGCCCUCUUGGUCGCGAUGGUAGUGCUCCAAGAUGACAUAGUGGUUUGAGGCGGAUGUCCUUCUUCUCCUCUUUCUGGGGAGGGGGGGUGUCAAGGGCGCAGACGGACCAGCUUUGCUCCAGCAGGAAGGCACAUGCCUCCUGGGCUUGCCUCUUCACAAGGAUCCGGGCUCGGGGGUCAUCCAUGACCUUGUCUGAAGCGGCACACCUUUGCCCUCUCACGGUGGGCACACCGUGUCACGACUCGCUUUUUCUGCUAUAGUUGGGGCAUCCGGAGCAUGCAUGGUCAUGCACAUUGGAGCCAUUGACCUCAGGCUUAGAGCCCAGUGUCGUGGGAACAAGGACCUAGCAUCGGGGUUACUCGGAUAUCAUGCAACUGUCCUCAUAGGUGCGCAUAUACCUCCAACCAUUGCUCCAAAUCCAGAGCGGGCACAUGCCUCGAGCCACCGACAGGCGCAUUGCCACCACUGGAUCUAAGCCCCACCGGACCUGAAGCCUCCUCCCAGGACCGAUGGCGAGCCAGUCGGACAACUAUCUCUCCUUGUCUGUGAAGGGGGCGAGAUCCCAGUCGCUGGAUAGUUGCUGGAUCCAGUGUUGUUGGGCUCAUAUCCAAUGCCCGCCAUGCCAGAAAUGGCAGGAGAUCACCGGAGAGGUGUUGGGCGGAGCAGAAUGAAAGUGAAGUGAAAGUGCAAUGGCAAAUGGCCAAGGUUUGGUCAGGGGUGCACAUAGGGACAAGGUAUUUAUAGGAUCACGAUGGCCGGUCUGAUGUGACAGACGCGCCCGUGUGUGUCUGGACGACCCAAAAUCCACCAACAUAUGGGUUGAGCUUGAGGGUACCUGGACGACCAAUAUGUUUGUGUUGGGUUUGACGGGUCCAUUUGAGCGGGUUUUUUCUCGGCUGUCGGGGGGGGGGGGGGNGAAAUUCGUACAAACCAAAAUUUAUUUGGAUAACAUGAUAACUUCUAUGCGACCCUAUUCCUUAAUGGGAAAAUUUUGUUUUUGCCACUCUAGCUUUUGCCAAUUUUCCUUAUGCUACUCUACAUUUUGACAUUUCACUUUUUCCACUCUUAGCUUUUGACAAUUAUCACAAUUACCAUUUUGUGGCAAAAGCAAAAUAUUUUUAUUUCAGUUUUGCCACUCUUAAAUUUGACAAUGAAUCACAAUUGCCACUCUAAUUUUUUUGUUUAUGACACCAAAUGGCAAUAAUGAUAACUAUCAAAAGCUAAGAUUGGCAAAAGUGAAAUGUCAAAAUCUAAAAUGGCAUAAAGAAAAUUGGCAAAAGCAAAAAAAAAUCCCAAAACAUUUCCCCAAGAAUUGUUUGGAAAUUUAUUAAAAUGGAAAAAAUGGUGAACAUUUAUAUAUAAGGAUAAAUAAAUAAAACAACAAAUCCAAAUUACAAAAAAGCAUUUAUCGCUCAAUUAAUUUGACAAAAAGUACUCAACCAGUGUCAACAGUACAACCCAACAUAAGUGGGCUCAAUGCCAUAGCCAACAAGGAAAAGAAGGACGCAAAUCUUCAAUAAAGUGCAUUGCGUAGAAUAUAAGUAAAUCUUAAUAAUUAAUAGGGAAUGGCACAGUUAGAUGAGCCAGUUAUCGUCCUUCUAGUGCCGUAAGGCUCACACCAUUGGCAGAGUUUUCCAAAUCUUCUGUCGCGUCACUAGUUUCGUAAUUUAUUUGCGCGAAAUACGUAGGUUGCUUGGGAGCUGCACGAGGCGUGGCUUCACUGUCGAGCAUAGACACAACGGAUGACAUGUGAGGCCGAGCACUGGAGCUGUCCUGGACACACAAGAGCCCAACAUGGAUGCACUUGGACACUUCAUCAAGCGAGUAGCUCUCCAUUACGGCUGCGUCCACGAAAUCCUUCACUUUGCCAUCUGCCCACAAGUUCCAUGCCUGAAACAUCGUGGUGAGAUUUAAAAAUACUGCAUUUCUUGUUGAGUUAUCAGAAUUUGAAGUAUUUCGUAACACGGUACGUAACACUUACACAUGAUAUGAGAUUUGAAAAGUCCAUCACAAGGUGAUGAGGUGAGCUGAUCUUUAAUCCGCUUACAAUCUCUAGUAGCAAAAUACCAAAGCUGUAGGUGUCGGACUUGACGGAGAAAAUGCCCUCCAUCGCAUACUCAGGCGACAUGUACCCGCUGUUCGAUAAAUUUGGGCUAUUUCAGGCUUACAAAUUAAAUUUCAGACCAAGAGCUAGUGAAAGAAGUACUUACUACGUUCCAACAACUCGUCUGGUACUUUCUUGUUGCUCGUUGCCUCCAAAGAUCCUUGCCAUUCCAAAAUCUGAUAUUUUCGGAUUCAUCUGCACGUCUAGCAGGAUGUUGCUUGGUUUGAGGUCUCUAUGGAUUAUAGUCGUUCUCGAAUCUUGGUGGAGAUACAUAAGUCCUCUAGCUACCCCUUUGAUUAUGUUGAACCUUUUUGGCCAAUCAAGCAUAGACUUCCUUGCAAUAUCUGCCAAGAAUAGGGUGGGUACUUACAUAAGUGCAUAAGCCGUUCAGACAAGCAAGUGUGCUUGGUCAAUUCAUGAUUAAUUUCGAGAGUAUGGGAUUAUAAGUUUUAAAACAUACCAAAAAGAAACUGGUCCAGGCUUUUGUUGGGCAGGUAUUCAUAAAUAAGCAACUUCUCAUCCUCAUGAAUACAGCAACCAAGAAGUCUAACUAGAUUCUUGUGCUGCAGUUUGGCAAUAAGAACCACUUCGUUUCUAAAAUGCUCUAUCCCCUGAUCAGAACCCUUGCUAAGCCUUUUAACAGCAACUUCCUUUCCAUCUUCUAGUGUUCCCUGUGUGAUUUCAUAAUUAUAGAAACAAAUAAACAGGGACGGCAUUAUACAGAUUUUCUAAUCUUUAUCAAAAAUAAUAAUACAGAUUUUCCAGUGUUGUGACUAAUUGACAAGGUCAAAAAUUUAAACCUUAUAGACUUUGCCAAAACCUCCUUUUCCAAGUACGUUUGUGUCAUGGAAACUGUUUGUUGCAGUGGCAAUGUCUUGGAACCUAAUAGACCGGAAUUCCAAAUUUUGAUCCAAGUGUUCCAGGGCCGGUCUUUUCAGGGUUUCAUUUUUUACUUGUAUCCCUGCUGGAGAAAUAUCACUAACAUCAAUAUUCAACACUUUUACAUGAAAAUAUCAUAUUACAGUAAACUGGGGUCCCUUGUUUUACCUUUUGGCUUCCAUAUGCAGACGAGAUAUAUGCAUAUGAGUGUCAGCAGGACAAAUAUAACUGGGAGUGCGAUCUUGAAUACCACACCGACACCGCUCUUCGUGUUGUUUACUGCAGGACUGCGUUCUGCAAUGAAAUGAUGGGGAAAAAAAAAGUACUGCAUCAAGAUUCAAGCAUAGCAUCUGAGAGUAUGAAUUUAUCCUUUUCUCAACGAGUAUAAUAUAUGGAUUUACUUGCAGUUGCAUAUAACACCAAUGCACAUCAAUCAUAGUUUUAAAUAGUGUGCUAUCUCGGCGCUGUAGCGUUUGGAGGGACAUCACGCUAACGACAUCAAGCGCGCUACUGAGGCUGCCGCUAUUCGCCAUAUCUUGCUAUUUAAACCUUUGUUCUCAAUAUAAUUACAGAUUUAUUUUCAAAAGUAAGAAUUUGCAGACAGCAAAAGUAACUGGUUAGCUUGUCAGUUACAAAUGUGCACUGACAUAAUUCUGGAAUAAAUGCAACUGAUGAGUUUGUUCAGUGAUAACGACAUAGAACAUACCUUGAGAGCCAGCAAGCCGAAGGUACAGGUUGCCACCAAGCAUACCGGCCUUCUCAGAGUCAACAAGCUCCCCUGUCCAGAUCAAGCAUCUUGACGGGCCACCGGUUGCGACGAUACUGCUCAGGUUGGUGUAAGCAUACGCGGUGCAGGAGCAGUCACGCUCACAAUCAGCGGUGCACUCCUCGAAGCUUCUGUUCC
rnacentral:lncRNA from 1 species